rnacentral:rRNA from 1 species
ACGGCUACCACAUCCAAGGAAGGCAGCAGGCGCGCAAAUUACCCAAUCCCGACACGGGGAGGUAGUGACAAUAAAUACUGAUACGGGGCUCUUUUGGGUCUCGUAAUUGGAAUGAGCACAAUCUAAAUCCCUUAACGAGGAACAAUUGGAGGGCAAGUCUGGUGCCAGCAGCCGCGGUAAUUCCAGCUCCAAUAGCGUAUAUUAAAGUUGUUGCAGUUAAAAAGCUCGUAGUUGAACCUUGGGUCUGGCUGGCCGGUCCGCCUCACCGCGAGUACUGGUCCGGCUGGACCUUUCCUUCUGGGGAACCUCAUGGCCUUCACUGGCUGUGGGGGGAACCAGGACUUUUACUGUGAAAAAAUUAGAGUGUUCAAAGCAGGCCUUUGCUCGAAUACAUUAGCAUGGAAUAAUAGAAUAGGACGUGCGGUUCUAUUUUGUUGGUUUCUAGGACCGCCGUAAUGAUUAAUAGGGAUAGUCGGGGGCGUCAGUAUUCAGCUGUCAGAGGUGAAAUUCUUGGAUUUGCUGAAGACUAACUACUGCGAAAGCAUUCGCCAAGGAUGUUUUCAUUAAUCAGGGAACGAAAGUUAGGGGAUCGAAGACGAUCAGAUACCGUCGUAGUCUUAACCAUAAACUAUGCCGACUAGGGAUCGGACGGUGUUUCUAUGAUGACCCGUUCGGCACCUUACGAGAAAUCAAAGUUUUUGGGUUCUGGGGGGAGUAUGGUCGCAAGGCUGAAACUUAAAGAAAUUGAC